AAAACAGUGCUACUCAUAAAAUUUUAUUGUCAAAUUUUAAGUCAAAUAUUAUUUUAUUCAUUUCCUAUUUCAGGCUUGCAGGAUCGUCCAAUGUUGUUCAAGCUUUUUGGAAAAAAUAAAAUUAUUUCCCUACCUUCCGACCCACACCUGGCUUGGCAGGGUCGGGAUUGGGGAAACAAACAAUAUAUUAAUUUAGGCCCAG
rnacentral:lncRNA from 1 species